AGUGAACGCUGGCGGUAGGCCUAACACAUGCAAGUCGAACGGCAGCACAGUAAGAGCUUGCUCUUACGGGUGGCGAGUGGCGGACGGGUGAGGAAUACAUCGGAAUCUACUUUUUCGUGGGGGAUAACGUAGGGAAACUUACGCUAAUACCGCAUACGACAUACGGGUGAAAGCAGGGGAUCUUCGGACCUUGCGCGAUUGAAUGAGCCGAUGUCGGAUUAGCUAGUUGGCGGGGUAAAGGCCCACCAAGGCGACGAUCCGUAGCUGGUCUGAGAGGAUGAUCAGCCACACUGGAACUGAGACACGGUCCAGACUCCUACGGGAGGCAGCAGUGGGGAAUAUUGGACAAUGGGCGCAAGCCUGAUCCAGCCAUACCGCGUGGGUGAAGAAGGCCUUCGGGUUGUAAAGCCCUUUUGUUGGGAAAGAAAAGCAGCAGGUUAAUACCCCGCUGUUCUGACGGUACCCAAAGAAUAAGUACCGGCUAACUUCGUG
rnacentral:rRNA from 1 species